rnacentral:tRNA from 1 species
GUCACGAAUGCUCCGCGGCGGGGCGCUGGCUUGCAAAGCCAGGGGGCUAGUUCGAUUCUAGCUCGUGACU